CUUCAAAUGGUUGCUGAACUAAUGGUUGUUAAGCGAGUAUUACCUGUAUAUUGCUGACAGCAAAAUAGUGCAAGAGAGAAAAAAGGUAGGGGUCAGGCAUUGAGAAGAAAAGAGAACAAAAUUCUGACUCAGAGAAUGGAGAAAAGGAAGCAGCAUCACGGAGCCAGUCCUGGCUCACAGCACUCUUCCAAGAUAGCCAAACAACCAAAAAUUGAUGAACUUUUUCUACAAAAAGAAACAAGUGAAGAAGAGGAAUCAUCUGACUGACAUCCUC